AUGUCACAAAGAAUAGUUGCUGAUAGAAAAGAUGAUUCCAUACCUUCUCCGACUACGACGAGCAUCAAAACGACAACCACCUCCGAUGCCAGAAAAUUGCGGCCACCUGUAGCUCCUCUGCACCGGAACAAUGCCUACCCACUCUGCACCACCUUCACCGUGAACGACACCGAUGGAUCUACCGAUCCAACCCCCGGUAAGUAG